GAAGGAGAGGUCGGCUAUGAAUUUGGGAUCUUCAGUACCCGAAACAAAGAAUAACCAAAGUGUGGUUUAGCUGUCCCACGUGUUAUCCUCAAAUGAUUGAACCCACCACCACUCCCCACUUAGCUUCUCCAUCAAACCAUGUCCGUACGAGGCCUUACUCCAUGUGAUUAGCACCUGACUGUGGUCCAACCCUCCUAUUAUUAUUAUUUAUUUUCUUUCUUCUUAUUUGUUUCAUUUCUUUCUCAUUUUCCUAUCUCAAAUUUGGUUUUCUUUAUUUUGUGUUGUUUUUGUUCUUUUCUUUAACUGACCACACAGUGGGGAUAAGACUUUGGGUCCUCAAGAAUUUUUUUUUUCAUAUGCACACACACAUAUAUAUAGCAAAAAUCUUUGGUGGGGUGUACAAAAGGAUCGCAUAUGUGCGGCUGUGUUUCUUUGGGUUGUGAUUGAUUCAAAGCAUUAGGUAUUUGUAACACCCCAAGUUGCUAAUAAGGUUUAAGACCUUGAUUAGCGUGCCUGGAGGACAAUAAGUGAAUUAAUAUGAUAAUAUAUUAAUUUAAAUGAAUAUGUGAUUAGAAUGCAUGUUUAGGUGGUAUAAAUAUGUAUGUGGGCCCCGUUUGCAUGAUAGGGGUAAAUUGGUAAUUUUAGCUCGUUGAUGGCAUAAAUGUGAUAAUUAUAUUAUGUGGUUUGUACCACGUGGGUGUGGUGAUAUUAAUGUGAUGCACGUGCCGAGACGGUCCUAGAGAGCUAGAUAACUCAAAAGUCACAACGGGAUUUUAUACCCGGCUCGGGAGGAGCCUAGGGGUACUUUGGGGAAUUUUGUGAGUUGAGUCGAGAAUUUGUGGUUAAUGGUUAUUGGUGAUUGAGUAACCUGGGUAACCAUUAGUAACUGCUGAGAGUAACAAGUUUAGGUGGAAGAAAUGGUAGAAUUGUAAUAUAGGUGAAAGGACAAGAGUGCCCUUGAGGUUUAGUUAGGAGAGGAUAACUAUGGGAGGAUAGGAUGGUAAUUUGGCAGGGAUUUAGAUCACUUCAGCUAAAGGAAAAGGAUCAUACACGUUAUUUCAUUUGGGGCAUGUUUUGUUUAUGCUGAAAUUGGGAGAAACCUAGAGGAAAAGAGAAGAAAAGGAAGGAAGCUGAGUUUGGAACCUAGAGGAGGAAUCAAGGUGGGUUGAAGUAAUUGAAGCCAAACAAGAGUCAAGAUUUGUUAUGAGCUUGUGGAAUUAGAAGGCUUAGCUUGGAGUUGGAAGCAAGGGAGCUUAAGGUUGGAUUCUCCAUUCAAGGUAAGGGCAAAGAGAAAGUCAACCAGCCAUGAGUACGGAGAGCGUGGGGGCGGCGCGUACAUGUUUGGCCUGCCCUACUGCUUUGGUUGGGGGCAUUUUUGAGAAAUGGUUGUACUAAACUCUGUUUUUGAUAAUUUAUCAACUGUGUAUCUAUUUUGAGUUGUAAAUAGUUUACAAACCUUGUUUUGGGAUCCCAAAUGUUAAAUAACUGGAACUUUGAGUGAA